rnacentral:rRNA from 1 species
GCCUCUCAGUUCGGAUCGGAGUCUGCAACCCGACUCCGUGAAGCUGGAUUCGCUAGUAAUCGCGCAUCAGCCAUGGCGCGGUGAAUACGUUCCCGGGCCUUGUACACACCGCCCGUCAAGCCAUGGAAGCCGGGGGCGCUUGAAGUGCGUUGCCGCAAGGCGCGCCCUAGAGCGAAACCGGUGACUGGGGCUAAGUCGUAACAAGGUAGC